GACCGGAAGCCACGGAGCUGGAGCGAGCAGGAGGUUGGUUGCUCUAGUGAUGAAGGAAGCCAACCUUCCCGCCUGCCGAGGCCACCUCUGAGCUCCACUGAAGGCAACAAAUUUCAAUUAUAGGAGGUAAAUAAAUCCCAGAAUUAAAAA